GAAUAGCUCAUUCGGCAGAGCGUUGGACUAUCAAUGGGAAUGUCCUGGUUCGAAUCCAGGCAUCA